CAGAAACAUCAUUAUCAAAUCAUCAGGCUGAGUGGCCUCAGGGUUCUCCUCAGCUGCUUGAUUCAGGCAAACUUUUCAGAAAAGUCUCUGAAAAAUCCAGCAGAGCCAAAACAGUCCAGUCUGAUUGCAACUGACCUGUCCAAGAGAAAGAAGCACAUCAACAUAAAUUGCUAUUCAUAUUGGUUGGAGUUUAAAAUUAUAUUUUUAAAAUUUAUUUAUAGAACAAGAUUCUGGUUCUUCUUUUUUUUUUUUUCAUGUAACCUAUACUGUCCAUCUAAAUUCUCUCCAAAAUGGACAUAGAUAUUGUUUAAGUAGGUUUGUUUGUUUAUCAGUAAAACAAGUUUGUUUUUAAAAUAGUGAAAGAUCAAAAGUACAAAACUGUGAAUUAAAUAGCACCUUUAUUUACGCUUUCAUUGUCUCCCAAUCUGUCAAUUUCUUUCUUACACACACACAGUGUCCCAACAUUUCCUGUUUGUUACUAAAUGAAAUGCUGCCAUUAAUAUCUUUCCAUAUAUAUUGUAUAUUGUGAUACACUUACAUUUGUUUACAAGGCAUAUUCCCAGUAGAAUUACUGUAUCAUGAGAUAGUUACACACUUAAAAUUUCUGUAUAUAUUUUCACAAUACUUUGCAAAAAGUUGUAACUAUAUUUUAACACUGCUAAGAUUCUCCAUACACUUGCUAAAAGGAUUUUCUUUCUUAUUUCCCAACGCGAUGUGGUUAAAAUGGCAUCUAAACCACUAAAUGUGUCUAAGUGAUCAUUAAUAUGUGGACAGAACUGAUCAAUCCUUUCUAUGUGUAUUGGCUCCUUGUAUUGCCUUUCUUGUGAUUUCUUCUUGCUCCUGUUGUUGAUUUUUUUCCUAGGAAGUUUUGGGGUCUAAACAUAAUUUGUAGUAUACCUUUGUUUAGUAAAAGAAUUCAUCUCUUUGGUGUAAUUGUUGUCAAAAUCAUAGCCGCCUGUCCCUCAAAUUAAAAAAAAAUAUAUAUAUAUAUAUGGAGAUAGUUUGGAGGAAAUAGAAAAAUGGCUUUAUCUUUGCCUGGCAAAGGGGAGUAUGUAGCAGGCUAGCGCCUCAAGAAGGUAAAGAAUCUGCCUGCAGUGCAGGAGACCCGGGUUUGAUCCGUGGGUCGGGAAGAUCCCCUGGAGAAGGAAAUGGCAACCCACUCCAGUAUUCUUGCCUGCAGAAUCCCAUGGACAGAAGAGCCUGGCAGGCUACAGUCCGUGGACUCGCAAAGAGUCUGACAUGACUGAACAAUUAACACAGUGCCUCACGAACUGUGCCCUGCUCCCCAAGAGAAUAGGGA
rnacentral:lncRNA from 1 species